UACGGAGGGUGCGAGCGUUGUCCGGAAUCACUGGGCGUAAAGGGCGCGUAGGCGGCCCGGUAAGUAGGGGGUGAAAUCUUGCGGCUUAACCGCAAGGCUGCCUUCUAAACUGCCAGGCUUGAGCACAGUAGAGGCAGGUGGAAUUCCCGGUGUAGCGGUGGAAUGCGUAGAGAUCGGGAAGAACAUCGGUGGCGAAGGCGGCUUGCUGGGCUUGGUCUGACGCUGAGGCGCGAAAGCGUGGGGAGCGAACAGG
rnacentral:rRNA from 1 species